UGCGCAGUGGCAGACAAACUGAAUUCACCAGACUACCUGCUUAAAUAUAUGAACGAUAAAUAAUCACAGCCUAAAUUAAGCUCGAUUAUAUUUUGAUGUCUUGUGUUAAUCAUAGCCACACACAUGCUGUGUUCGUACUUACUCCUUACUCACACAUAACCAGGCGGCUGUAACGACACUACGAUUAGCCUGGAAGCUAAUAACUUAUUUACUUUCAUUAUCAGCUGUUAACUGUUUCUGUGCUCAUUUAAAAGAUGGAGCCAAAGCACCGAAAACUUCUCCGAGCGCAGAGGCUGCAUCUCUGUCAUCAACUCGUUGUGGAUGAUACGAUAGUCCAUUUCUUAUACCAAAAGGACAUUUUAACCGACAGUCAAUUGGAAGACAUUCUUUCACAGAAGUCGAACAAAAACAAGACGUUAAAGCUGCUCAGUAUUCUUCCAAACCGCGGCCCAAAUGCUUUUAAUGAGUUUGUUCAGUCCCUAGAAGAAGGUUUUCCCUGGAUUAAAGAGGAACUGCUUCGUCUAGCUGAGGACAAUAAUGAUGAUGAUGAUGAUGGAGGAAGAGGGACAGAGGAAGCCGAAAUCACCGCUCAAUGGGCCAUUAAUAAACAUAUCCUCCAAAUGGUUCCAUCUGAUCAGCAGCUAAAUCGGCUGGCAGUUCAGCUCGGCUCCGAGUCAGAGAUGGUGCUGUUAGACUUGGGCUUGACCUCAGUAGAGAUCUCCCGCUGUCGUGCCGAUCAUCCACACAACCGUCACAGUCAGGUGUUGGCAGCUCUGGUAAUGUGGAAGCAGACUCACGGACGGAGAGCCACGGUGCAACGUCUACUCCAGAGCCUACAGAAUUCAGAAAUCCAUCCUUCUUCCCUCAACCAAGUAUUUGCCUGAGGCUACUAGGAGAAUGUGAAAACUAGUUGUGCCACUAAGAUUAAACAUCUGGGUCGCCACAGCGAAUCAUCUCUCUCCAUCAACAUUCUCAGAGCAAAAAUUGCAUCUGUUGUGCUCUUUCUCGGCAUGAAGCCAUACUGCUGCUCACAAAUUUCCACCACCUUCCUUAACCUAGCUUCCACUACUCUUUCCCACAACUUCCCACUGAUGAAUAUUCAAAGCAAUCACUGGAACACAGGGCAAGAAAUCACAUACAUUUUUAGACAGUUUUAUAAAUCAGAGGGGAAAAAGAGUAGAAGGGGUGAACUCUGUGGAACAGGAAGUAGAUAAGAUUAGAAAGGAUGACUCUGUUAAUAAUUUUGAUCAAUGCUACCUUUUUUCCUUUUGAGCCACUGAUGAAUAUUCAAAGCAAUCACUGGAACACAGGGCAAGAAAUCACAUACAUUUUUAGACAGUUAUAUAUAUACGUAUAUAUAUAUAUAUAUAUAUAUAUAUACUGUAUAUAGAAUGUUAUUUUGUGUAUUGAUUAACAGGCUGUUCUCCUUAAAGUCCUCAUGUUGUUGGCAAUUAAUCUAAUAUAAUCUUAAUGUACUGUGUUAGAAUCAUAGAUCCUGAUAACCACAGUUUACAAUAUGUGCAUUUACUGCAGUAAUGGAGAACAAAUAAGGCAUUAAAAGUACUUGAAACAGAUUACUUGCAAUGCUCUAUCUUUUGAAUUGGUUAACGCUCAUGUUGUGGUUUUGAUGUGUGAGUGUAACCAUUUCCAGUAAUCUCCUCUAUAUUUACUAUAUACACUUCUUGCCCAAUAGAAUUCAAGAAGUACAACUUUUUUCUAGCUGUGUUCUUCUAACCUAAAUCAUAGAUAGAAUGUUUUACUGUAUUGUAUGCUUUUCUUUUUUAACUGACAAACAAAGAGUUUUGAACAAGUUUCUUAGUUGUCAAUUAAUAAAUAAACCUGAUAUGUGUGUAUGUGGUAAUUAUUCUUAUUGAGAAGUUCAAAACAAAAUAACAAAUCAAAAAACAAAUGAAUAAAUUCGAAAACAAAACAAUAAAUCAGAAAACACAACGACAAUUUAGACAAAUCCAAAGUGGGAAAUAUAAUUUGCAAGAUAAUACAGGAUGUACAGCAGUCAGCUCUCCUCUUGUAACAUUACUUACAUUAUUUAGUCUGGAGUAUUUUUUGUCUUCAAAACAUACAUGCGUUCUUCAGGUGU